CCUACGGGAGGCAGCAGUGGGGAAUAUUGGGCAAUGGGCGCAAGCCUGACCCAGCAACGCCGCGUGAAGGAAGAAGGCUUUCGGGUUGUAAACUUCUUUUCUCAGGGACGAAGAAAGAGACGGUACAUGAGGAAUAAGCGACGGCUAACUACGUGCCAGCAGCCGCGGUAAGACGGAGGUGGCAAGCGUGAUCCGGAUUUACUGGGUGUAAAGGGCGUGUAGGCGGGGAAGCAAGUCAGAUGUGAAACCCACGGGCUCAACCGGUGGACUGCAUUUGAAACUGGUUUUCUUGAGUACUGGAGAGGCAGACGGAAUUCCUAGUGUAGCGGUGAAAUGCGUAGAUAUUAGGAGGAACACCGGUGGCGAAGGCGGUCUGCUGGACUGCAACUGACGCUGAGGCGCGAAAGCGUGGGGAGCAAACAGGAUUAGAUACCCUAGUAGUC
rnacentral:rRNA from 1 species